GACGAACGCUGGCGGCGUGCCUAAUACAUGCAAGUUGAGCGCUGAAGGUUGGUACUUGUACCAACUGGAUGAGCAGCGAACGGGUGAGUAACGCGUGGGGAAUCUGCCUUUGAGCGGGGGACAACAUUUGGAAACGAAUGCUAAUACCGCAUAAAAACUUUAAACACAAGUUUUAAGUUUGAAAGAUGCAAUUGCAUCACUCAAAGAUGAUCCCGCGUUGUAUUAGCUAGUUGGUGAGGUAAAGGCUCACCAAGGCGAUGAUACAUAGCCGACCUGAGAGGGUGGUCGGCCACAUUGGGACUGAGACACGGCCCAAACUCCUACGGGAGGCAGCAGUAGGGAAUCUUCGGCAAUGGACGAAAGUCUGACCGAGCAACGCCGCGUGAGUGAAGAAGGUUUUCGGAUCGUAAAACUCGGUUGGUAGAGAAGAACGUUGGUGAGAGUGGAAAGCUCAUCAAGUGACGGUAACUACCCAGAAAGGGACGGCUAACUACGUG
rnacentral:rRNA from 1 species